GAGGGAGAGGGAGAAGCAGGCUCCUUGCUGAGCAGAGAGCCCAAUGGGGGGCUCAAUCCCAGGACCCUGGGAUCAUGACCUGAGCCAAAGGCAGCUGCUUAACUGACUGAGGCAUUCAGGUGCCCCAUGAGAGUAAUGGUUUAAUGAAGAAAACAUCAUAUACUGUCCAGGGCCUGGCUCUUCAGGAACUGUCUCUGGGGUCUCACUGAUGUCCUUCCUCCACUCUUUUCUCAAUUCCAGUCUUUCGUGUAAUAUCUGAUUACUUAUUUGAGUUUUUUCUUGUUUCCUGAGGUAGGUCUGCAUUGAUAUAUAGUUCCAUCUUAGAACUGCUUUUGCUGUAUCCCCCAAAUUUUGA